rnacentral:lncRNA from 1 species
GCAUUUCUGUAUUCGGCCUCAACACAUCCGAAGAGAGAGGCAGGGGAGGGAGAGGAGAGAGACGCUGAGGAGUCAUCAGAGCCUCCGAAAAAACGCACCAAACGUGAAAAUUGUAAAAUAUUUCCUCUUAAAGUGUCGAAAUUAGAAAAGCAGGAUCAUAUUGAUCUCCUCUUUAUAUCGAAUGGAGAGGGGAAUUUUCACUAUGCUUGGAUUUCUAAUUUCGAAGCCUUAGUUGGACGUCAACUGACAACUCAUGGAAAAAAGGUUUUCAUCUGCAAAAAGUGUUUUUGUCAUUACGGGAAGCUGGAGCGUUUAGAAUCUCAUAAAAUUUUAUGCGGGAAAAUAUCAUCCGAUUCUUUUAUUCCGAAAUGUCCUGAAAAUUCUUACGUAGAAUUUAAAAAUUUUGAAAGGUCUAUUAAACAUAAUUAUGUUGUCUACUGCGAUGCUGAGUGCAUUCUUACUCCGCUGGAAAAAGAAGGGAAUCCGACUACUUUUGCAUAUCAAAAACAUGUACCUAUCGCAUUUUCACUGAUUUUAGUUACUGAAGAUCCUUUAUUUAACACGAUCAAAAACCAACCGUUCGUUCAUUAUGGAAAAAAUGCUCACGUGGCUUUCAUGAAUAAAAUCAUAGAAUUUGGGUACUCAAUUUCCGAUAAUCUUAACGAUAAAACAUCACCCAUCACAAUGACGCCAGAAGAGGAGGAGUAUUUUAGAAAUAAACAAGAAUGUGAGCAUUGUUCGGUAACUUUCACCGAUAAAAACCCAAAAGUCCGGGAUCAUAGUCAUCAGCGUUUCGAUAUGAACGAUCCUAACGUCAAAAAAACAAAUUUCAGAGCUGUUUUAUGUCAGAAAUGUAAUUUAAAGCAUUAUCAUGCUAAAAGCUUAAAAGUUGUCGUGCAUAAUGGAUCUCGAUACGACUUUAAAGCUAUGAUUAUCGGGAUGAAGGGAAAUAAACAUGAAAUUACAAUUUUACCGAGCACUGAGGAAACAUACAUUAGUUUUUCAAUUCAACUUAAAAAUGGUUAUAAAAUCACGUUCAUCGACUCGUAUCGAUUCCUUUCUUUUCGC